rnacentral:lncRNA from 1 species
AUGAUAUGUUCAUAUUUUCGACAAGGCAAUAUGGAAAAGUUUGGUGGUUGACCUUCGUGCCACUCUUAUCAAUACUCUCUCAUAGUCCUAGUCUCCAGGUUGUUUUGUUGCUACGUUAUUGAGUGGUUGAUAUCCUUCGUUGAAUUAUUGUCAGCAAGGUUGGUUUUUGAGUCGGGUUUGAAUCAUUAAGAUUGGCGCUUUUGGUCUAUGGGAGUUUUUAUUUUCGUUCUAUUCAUUUAUUUAGUCGAAAUUUGAAUGAGUCAUGUUGGUUUGGUGUCGGGGAUGGGGAGGGUGCAGUCGGGAAAAAUUAGU